GUGAUACUUCCUUCAAUAGACCCACUAGUUUUCCUUCCUGCCAGGACAUCCAUUAGAAUGGUUUCCCCAGCUCCACUCACACCAACUAAUGCUGUCAGAACACCUGGCCUAAAAGCACCACUGAUAUCGGAGAGCAACUGGAGACGACUUUCGGCGAAUCCUUGCUCUCUCAUUUCCUGA
rnacentral:rRNA from 1 species